CUGAUCGGCCACAUUGGGACUGAGACACGGCCCAAAUUCCUACGGGAGGCUGCAGUAGGGAAUCUUCCACAAUGGGCGAAAGCCUGAUGGAGCAACGCCGCGUGUGUGAUGAAGGCUUUCGGGUCGUAAAGCACUGUUGUAUGGGAAGAAAAGUUAAGGUAGGGAAUGACCUUAGCCUGACGGUACCAUACCAGAAAGGGACGGCUAAAUACGUGCCAGCAGCCGCGGUAAUACGUAUGUCCCGAGCGUUAUCCGGAUUUAUUGGGCGUAAAGCGAGCGCAGACGGUUGGUUAAGUCUGAUGUGAAAGCCCGGAGCUCAACUCCGGAAAGGCAUUGGAAACUGGUUAACUUGAGUGCAGUAGAGGUAAGUGGAACUCCAUGUGUAGCGGUGGAAUGCGUAGAUAUAUGGAAGAACACCAGCGGCGAAGGCGGCUUACUGGACUGUAACUGACGUUGAGGCUCGAAAGUGUGGGUAGCAAACAGGAUUAGAUACCCUGGUAGUCCACACCGUAAACGAUGAACACUAGGUGUUAGGAGGUUUCCGCCUCUUAGUGCCGAAGCUAACGCAUUAAGUGUUCCGCCUGGGGAGUACGACCGCAAGGUUGAAACUCAAAGGAAUUGACGGGGACCCGCACAAGCGGUGGAGCAUGUGGUUUAAUUCGAAGCAACGCGAAGAACCUUACCAGGUCUUGACAUCCUUUGAAGCUUUUAGAAAUAGAAGUGUUCUCUUCGGAGACAAAGUGACAGGUGGUGCAUGGUCGUCGUCAGCUCGUGUCGUGAGAUGUUGGGUUAAGUCCCGCAACGAGCGCAACCCUUAUUGUUAGUUGCCAGCAUUCAGAUGGGCACUCUAGCGAGACUGCCGGUGACAAACCGGAGGAAGGCGGGGACGACGUCAGAUCAUCAUGCCCCUUAUGACCUGGGCUACACACGUGCUACAAUGGCGUAUACAACGAGUUGCCAACCUGCGAAGGUGAGCUAAUCUCUUAAAGUACGUCUCAGUUCGGACUGCAGUCUGCAACUCGACUGCACGAAGUCGGAAUCGCUAGUAAUCGCGGAUCAGCACGCCGCGGUGAAUACGUUCCCGGGUCUUGUACACACCGCCCGUCACACCAUGGAAGUUUGUAAUGCCCAAAGCCGGUGGCCUAACCGUAAGGAGGAACCGUCUAAGGCAGA
rnacentral:rRNA from 1 species